rnacentral:rRNA from 1 species
UACGUAGGGCGCAAGCGUUGUCCGGAAUUAUUGGGCGUAAAGCGUCCGCAGGUGGCUAUUCAAGUCUGCGGUCAAAGACUGGGGCUUAACCCUGGAAAGGCCGUGGAAACUGAAGAGCUAGAGUGCAGUAGGGGGAGAGGGAAUUCCCGGUGUAGCGGUGAAAUGCGUAGAGCUCGGGAAGAACAUCAGUGGCGAAAGCGCUCUGCUGGACUGCAACUGACACUCAGGGACGAAAGCGAGGGGAGCGAACGGG